rnacentral:tRNA from 1 species
GGCAGGGACGGUCGAUGUCGGGCUCAUAACCCGAAGGUCGCGGGUUCAAAUCCCGCCCCCGCCACCA